UGGGCCCUACGGGGCGCAGCAGUAGGGAAUCUUCCACAAUGGGCGAAAGCCUGAUGGAGCAACGCCGCGUGGGUGAAGAAGGUCUUCGGAUCGUAAAACCCUGUUGUUAGAGAAGAAAGUGCGUGAGAGUAACUGUUCACGUUUCGACGGUAUCUAACCAGAAAGCCACCGCUAACUACGUGCCAGCAGCCGCGGUAAUACGUAGGUGGCAAGCGUUCUCCGGAUUUAUUGGGCGUAAAGGGAACGCAGGCGGUCGUUUAAGUCUGCUGUG
rnacentral:rRNA from 1 species